CCGGAAGGUUUAAACUGAAACCUUCGGGGAACGUUAACGGCGUCGAGCGGCGGACGGGUGAGUAAUGCCUGGGAAAUUGCCCUGAUGUGGGGGAUAACCAUUGGAAACGAUGGCUAAUACCGCAUAAUAGCUUCGGCUCAAAGAGGGGGACCUUCGGGCCUCUCGCGUCAGGAUAUGCCCAGGUGGGAUUAGCUAGUUGGUGAGGUAAGGGCUCACCAAGGCGACGAUCCCUAGCUGGUCUGAGAGGAUGAUCAGCCACACUGGAACUGAGACACGGUCCAGACUCCUACGGGAGGCAGCAGUGGGGAAUAUUGCACAAUGGGCGCAAGCCUGAUGCAGCCAUGCCGCGUGUAUGAAGAAGGCCUUCGGGUUGUAAAGUACUUUCAGCAGUGAGGAAGGCGGAGUCGUUAAUAGCGGCCUCGUUUGACGUUAGCUGCAGAAGAAGCACCGGCUAACUCCGUGCCAGCAGCCGCGGUAAUACGGAGGGUGCGAGCGUUAAUCGGAAUUACUGGGCGUAAAGCGCAUGCAGGUGGUUUGUUAAGUCAGAUGUGAAAGCCCGGGGCUCAACCUCGGAAUUGCAUUUGAAACUGGCAGACUAGAGUACUGUAGAGGGGGGUAGAAUUUCAGGUGUAGCGGUGAAAUGCGUAGAGAUCUGAAGGAAUACCGGUGGCGAAGGCGGCCCCCUGGACAGAUACUGACACUCAGAUGCGAAAGCGUGGGGAGCAAACAGGAUUAGAUACCCUGGUAGUCCACGCCGUAAACGAUGUCUACUUGGAGGUUGUGGCCUUGAGCCGUGGCUUUCGGAGCUAACGCGUUAAGUAGACCGCCUGGGGAGUACGGUCGCAAGAUUAAAACUCAAAUGAAUUGACGGGGGCCCGCACAAGCGGUGGAGCAUGUGGUUUAAUUCGAUGCAACGCGAAGAACCUUACCUACUCUUGACAUCCAGAGAACUUUCCAGAGAUGGAUUGGUGCCUUCGGGAACUCUGAGACAGGUGCUGCAUGGCUGUCGUCAGCUCGUGUUGUGAAAUGUUGGGUUAAGUCCCGCAACGAGCGCAACCCUUAUCCUUGUUUGCCAGCGAGUAAUGUCGGGAACUCCAGGGAGACUGCCGGUGAUAAACCGGAGGAAGGUGGGGACGACGUCAAGUCAUCAUGGCCCUUACGAGUAGGGCUACACACGUGCUACAAUGGCGCAUACAGAGGGCGGCCAACUUGCGAAAGUGAGCGAAUCCCAAAAAGUGCGUCGUAGUCCGGAUUGGAGUCUGCAACUCGACUCCAUGAAGUCGGAAUCGCUAGUAAUCGUGGAUCAGAAUGCCACGGUGAAUACGUUCCCCCCCUGG
rnacentral:rRNA from 1 species